GUUAUGAAUAUACUAAAUUCGAUAGUUGGAGAGGAUUAUAAUUGUAUAAACAAAAAAGAUGAUGGAGUUAAGACACCAGAAAAAGCAUCGAAAAUGCUAGAGCCUGAUGACAUUCGACCUUUUGGUGCCCCGCCGGAGAGGACGGGCAUGGCUCAAAAUGCCGUUUAUGGUACAGAGGUGGAGAUAGUUACAAUGACAACUAUGCUCCAGACAAAUAUUUUAAUACAUACUAUUUAUAAAUGGGCAUACUAUAUGCCCAUUAAAAAAUUAAGUAAUAUUAAAAAAUUUAAUGUAAAUAUUUAUUUAAUAAAUCAUAGCGAACAUAUUGAUCGCAUAAUUAAUUUUAAUUAAUAUUUAUAUCGCAUAUAGCAUAUAUUAUUUAUAUCGCAUAUAUUAUUAAUUGAUUUUUUUAUCU